AAUUUGGUUCGACUAGCCAUGCGAGUCAAUGUUCUUCGUGAACAUGGCGUACUGCGUCAGUAACACGUGGACAACCUGCCCUAAGGUCUGGCAUAACUCCGGGAAACUGGGGAUAAUUCCAGAUGAACCAUAGAUACUGGAAUGUGCUGUGGUUAAAAGCUCCGGGGCCUUAGGAUGGAUCUGGGGCCUAUCAGGUAGUAGUGGGUGUAAUGUACCUACUAGCCUACGACGGGUACGGGUUGUGAGAGCAAGAGCCCGGAGAUGGAUUCUGAGACAUGAAUCCAGGCCCUACGGGGCGCAGCAGGCGCGAAAACUUUACAAUGCGGGAAACCGCGAUAAGGGGACACUGAGUGGCAGUACCAUGUACUGGCUGUCCGCAUGUAUAAAUCACAUGUGUCAGCAAGGGCCGGGCAAGACCGGUGCCAGCCGCCGCGGUAACACCGGCGGCCCGAGUGGUGGCCAUUAUUAUUGGGUCUAAAGGGUCCGUAGCCGGUUUGAUCAGUCUUCCGGGAAAUCUGACAGCUCAACUGUUAGGCUUCUGGGGGAUACUGUCAGACUUGGAACCGGGAGAGGUAAGAGGUACUACAGGGGUAGGAGUGAAAUCUUGUAAUCCUUGUGGGACCACCAGUGGCGAAGGCGUCUUACCAGAACGGGUUCGACGGUGAGGGACGAAAGCUGGGGGCACGAACCGGAUUAGAUACCCGGGUAGUCCCAGCCGUAAACGAUGCUCGCUAGGUGUCUGGGAUGGUGCGACCGUUUCAGUGCCGCAGGGAAGCCGUGAAGCGAGCCACCUGGGAAGU
rnacentral:rRNA from 1 species